CCUCCAUCCAGCCUCCUUUAUAAGGGCCGCUCGUGUCUCCGAGUUCAACCCUCCCUCCCAACCUCCUCUCUUCGCUCGGCAAAGCCCUAACCCAUCGUCCAGCCGUCCGACGCAACUCACCUGUUUCGGGAGCUGCCGACUUGUCUCGCCGGUCACCGUUGACGCAGGAAUUUUGUUACGAUGGAUACAGAUUCAAGCACACCCACAGAAUCAGCUCUUUCAUGUGCUCGGUGUGGCAAACCAGCUUAUCUUCAAUGUCCCAAAUGUGUAGAGCUAAAGCUGCCUCAAGAAGGUUCUACAUUCUGCACGCAGGAUUGCUUUAGAAUUUCAUGGAGCUCUCACAAGUUGGUGCAUCCGAAAUCAAAGUUAGCAAAUGUUAGAAGUGCACAUUCUGAACAAUCUCUAGAUGGUUGGCUAUAUUGCUUAAAGAAUGGCCAAGCUCGAACAUCUAAGCUUCCUCAUUUUGGUUGGACAGGAGCAUUAAGGCCGUGUCCAAUAUCCAAGCGGCGUUUGGUACCAGAUGGAGUUGAGAAACCUGAUUGGUCUAUUGAUGGUAUCCCCAAGACUGAGCUCAAUAGUGACUUGCAGAAUAUUGUGGAGAUCAAGACGCCAGAGCAAAUUGAACUAAUGAGAGGAACAUGCCGAAUUGCUAGGGAGGUUUUAGAUGCUGCUGCUUGUAUCAUCCGACCGGGAAUUACCACAGAUGAAAUUGAUGAGGUUGUUCAUCAGGCAACAAUUGCUGCUGGAGGGUACCCGUCCCCAUUAAACUAUCAUUUCUUUCCAAAGUCCUGCUGCACGUCUGUCAAUGAAGUUAUCUGCCAUGGAAUCCCAGAUGCAAGGAAACUCAAAGAUGGUGACAUUGUCAAUGUUGAUGUAACUGUAUAUUACAAAGGCGUCCAUGGUGAUCUAAAUGAAACUUUUUUUGUUGGGGAAGUGGAUGAAGCUUCUCAGCAGCUUGUUCGUUGCACAUAUGAGUGCUUGGAGAAAGCUAUUUCUAUAGUUAAACCUGGGGUUCGAUACCGUGAGGUUGGUGAAGUUAUUAGUCGUCAUGCAACAAUGUCAGGCUUCUCUGUGGUGAAAUCUUACUGUGGACAUGGCAUCGGAGAGUUAUUUCACUGCGCCCCAAAUAUUCCUCAUUAUGGAAGAAACAAAGCAGUCGGUAUCAUGAAAGCUGGACAAACUUUUACAAUAGAGCCAAUGAUAAAUGCAGGAGUAUGGCGUGACCGGUUGUGGCCUGAUGGAUGGACUGCAGUUACUGCAGAUGGUAAACGAAGUGCUCAAUUUGAGCACACACUUCUGGUAACAGAGACAGGGGUUGAGGUUUUAACAGCACGGGUGCCCUCAUCACCUGAUGUCUUCCCUUGGUUAAAGUUAAACCACCCUUAACCAUGUUUGGUUCUGCAAUGGGCUGCUUUUCCUGGAGCCAGUCAAGCCAAUUGUUCAAUUUGAAUCAACAGGCUGUUGUGCAUCUCAACCUUUGGCCCGCAAGACCUCACAUCCAUAUCCCAUGGUUUGAUAUAUAAAAGGGGUAAUUUUCUUGA